rnacentral:rRNA from 1 species
ACGAACGCUGGCGGCGUGCCUCAUCCCUGCAAGUCGCACGCUUCUUUCCUCCCGAGUGCUUGCACUCACUUGGAGAGAGGAGUGGCGGACGGGUGAGUAACACGUGGGUAACCUACCCAUCAGAGGGGGAUAACACUUGGAAACAGGUGCUAAUACCGCAUAACAGUUUAUGCCGCAUGGCAUAAGAGUGAAAGGCGCUUUCGGGUGUCGUUGAUGGAUGGACCCGCGGUGCAUUAGCUAGUUGGUGAGGUAACGGCUCACCAAGGCCACGAUGCAUAGCCGACCUGAGAGGGUGAUCGGCCACACUGGGACUGGGACACGGCCCAGACUCCUACGGGAGGCAGCAGUAGGGAAUCUUCGGCAAUGGACGAAAGUCUGACCGAGCAACGCCGCGUGAGUGAAGAAGGUUUUCGGAUCGUAAAACUCUGUUGUUAGAGAAGAACAAGGACGUUAGUAACUGAACGUCCCCUGACGGUAUCUAACCAGAAAGCCACGGCUAACUACGUG